rnacentral:rRNA from 1 species
CAUGGCUCAGGACGAACGCUGGCGGCGUGCCUAACACAUGCAAGUCGAGCGGAGCCAAUUGUCAGAUCCCUUCGGGGUGACGAUGAGGAAGCUUAGCGGCGGACGGGUGAGUAACGCGUGAGUAACCUGCCUGUAAGAGGGGGAUAACACAGAGAAAUCUGUGCUAAUACCGCAUAUUGAAUGUGAACCGCAUGGUUUACAUUUGAAAGAUUUAUCGCUUACAGAUGGACUCGCGUCUGAUUAGCUUGUUGGCGGGGUAACGGCCCACCAAGGCGACGAUCAGUAGCCGAACUGAGAGGUUGAUCGGCCACAUUGGGACUGAGACACGGCCCAGACUCCUACGGGAGGCAGCAGUGGGGGAUAUUGCGCAAUGGGGGAAACCCUGACGCAGCAACGCCGCGUGAUGGAAGAAGGCCUUCGGGUUGUAAACAUCUGUUGCAAGGGAAGAAAAAAAUGACGGUACCUUGUGAGGAAGCCACGGCUAACUACGUGCCAGCAGCCGCGGUAAUACGUAGGUGGCGAGCGUUGUCCGGAUUUACUGGGUGUAAAGGGCGCGUAGGCGGGGCAGCAAGUCAGUCGUGAAAUGCCGGGGCUUAACUCCGGAGCUGCGAUUGAAACUGUUGUUCUUGAGUGUCGGAGAGGAAAGCGGAAUUCCUAGUGUAGCGGUGAAAUGCGUAGAUAUUAGGAGGAACACCAGUGGCGAAGGCGGCUUUCUGGACGAUAACUGACGCUGAGGCGCGAAAGUGUGGGGAGCAAACAGGAUUAGAUACCCUGGUAGUCCACACCGUAAACGAUGGAUACUAGGUGUAGGAGGUAUCGACCCCUUCUGUGCCGCAGUUAACACAAUAAGUAUCCCACCUGGGGAGUACGACCGCAAGGUUGCAACUCAAAUGAAUUGACGG